rnacentral:lncRNA from 1 species
ACUAUCUUUCGCGCGCCCUCUCCUAAACAGUUCACUCUCUGCCCGUGUCCCCUCCACGCCCUCCGCUGACCCGGGCCCUGCCUCUAAGGCUCCCGGGACUGCUCCCGCCGCGCAUCCGGGGCUCUCACCUGCAACCUCCGCUCGCUGGAGACUGUGGCAGGAGAAGCCCCUGUGUUCCCCUGGGAGCAAGCACCCCAAGAUCCUUAACCUAGGGCGGAGAAAGGUGGCAGCUUCGACUCGCCCAGGGGUUCGGUCCGACUGUUCUGCCUGCUUGGGACCCCUCACGGUGCGCUGGACCCGGGCGGUGCCAGUACAGUUUCAAGUCCGGAGCAGUUCGGUCCAAGGCAGCUGAAGAUUUGGUUCUCCAGGAGCUGGAGGCCGGUGGGCGUCCCGGCUCCUCUACACUCAAGUCCCAGAGCUGGGGCCACCUUGCGCCGACCAGGGGGCGGAGGACACUCCAGCAGAGAUGGGUCAGUAUGAUGGGGCCGAGAACGUCCCGUCUCGGAACUCCGGAUCAAGGCCGGGGCUCGAACGUCCCAGCAGCUCCAGACCACGGGGCUAGGAAAGUCCAGGCGCGGAAUGCGGGGCUCGGACAAGCAGGGCAGGGCAGGGCAGGGCAGGCGGAGCGCCAGCGGCCGGAGCAAGGCGAAGAAGUCUGCCCAGGUCCCGACGCCGCUCACUCUGCAAAUCUGGGCGGACCUGUGCCGGCAGCGGACUCCAGAGCUCCGGGCCGCCGCUCCACUUCCUCCUCUUACCGGCUCCCCGCUCACCGCUUGCUCAGCCUCGCGCCGCAGCCUCUGCUACUGCCGCUGUCACCCUAGCCGCCCACCCCCACCCGAGCUGCAAACCGAGCCGAGCCGAGCCGAGCCGAGCCGAGCCCUGCCGAGACAGCUCCGGAGCGCCUGCGAGCUUGGCCCCUCCCCUAAAGGGUGGGACCAACAGAAACCCCGCCCCUGGCCGGGCCGGGAGCAAAGGCGGGGCGUGAGAGACACUGCUAGGCCGGUCCCCGGCGCAGUUGGGCAGCAAGAGCCAAUGGGAGAGUGGAAGAGGGGUGGAACUCUGCUGAGCGUGGUCUGGUGCCGCUGGAGAAGGACAAUGAAAGCUGCGCGUAGCAAGCGAGCCAGCCGCCUGGAGAUCAAGAUGGUGGGCUCGGGGGCCUGGGUUGACUGUGACUGAGCACGAGGCCAGCAGUGGGAAAGGGCGAAGCAUGGAGGAGGCGAGGUUAGGACUGGGAUGUCCCUGGAUGGCGGAACCUGGGGCGUAGCGUGAUACAGCCAGCCUCUUGCUCCUCCCCGCUGCUAGGGCUCCUUGCACUGAGUAGCAUUUGGGAGCAGUGCAAGGCUCUGAUUUUAGGAAGCGAUGCAAAAAAGUUUGUAAAAAUAAAAAGCAGAUCUGUUUCCCACA